rnacentral:misc_RNA from 1 species
GAUGAGAACGUAGUGAAAUGCGAUACUUGGUGUGAAUUGCAGAAUCCCGUGAACCAUCGAGUCUUUGAACGCAAGUUGCGCCCGAAGCCAUUAGGCCGAGGGCACGCCUGCCUGGGCGUCACACGUCGUUGCCCCCCCAUCUACUCCUUCGGGAUUGCGGGGGGCGGAUGAUGGCCUCCCGUGCGCCUCGCCGCGCGGUUGGCAUAAAUGCCAAGUCCUCGGCGACGCACGCCACGACAAUCGGUGGUUGCGAAACCUCGGUUGCCCGUCGUGUGCGGUCGUCGCGCAUCGAGGGCUCGAAAAAAUUGCCGGGUUCCGGCUCGGCUUUCAACGCGACCCCAGGUCAGGCGGGGUUACCCGCUGAAUUUAAGCAUAUCAAUAAGCGGAGGA